AGGAGAUCUGUGGAAGGGAGAGGGAUGGGACGGGGUAAACAAGAUGAACAUUACAGAGACUUUCAGGAAGGAAAAAGGAAGUGACUUUCAGGAAGUGAAAAACAAUCCAAACAGACGAGUUAUUUGUCUGUGAGUUUUGAUUUUGUUUAUUGAACAUCAACUUUUGCAUUAUCAUCAUGAAAAGCUCCUUCCUUGUUUCCCUUGGUAAGAAAUAGCAAACUUGUUUUGAAGGUUCUUCUUCUGCUUUUUAUUCUUAAUUUCGAUAGUUUGAUGAACUACACUUCAUCGCACAAUAACAAGGUUCGCGAGAGUAAAGUACAACAUGGAGUUUCCACAUCAAAACGUGGAAGAAAACGCUCCACCCCCCCCCCCCCCCCCCCCCCCCCCCCCCCCCCCCCCCCCCCCCCCCCCCCCCCCCCCCCCCCCCCCCCCCCCCCCCCCCCCCCCCCCCCCCCCCCCCCCCCCCCCCCCCCCCCCCCCCCCCCCCCCCCCCCCCCCCGGUAAGCUCUUUCGGUCGUGCAAAUUUUAACAAAGAAAUAAACAGCAUUGUCAAUCUCCUUGGUAUUACCCCGAAACAUCCCCUUUUGGGGACCACCCACCUCCCCAACCCGAAACACCCACAAGUUCUUAUUGCUGUGUCCUUUUCUCAAUCAGAUCCCAUACAUGGUGAUACCGAGAGGUGAAAGGUGCAAUCUGCUCUGCUUAUGUGGGUGGACGCUUCGCACUGGUAGAGUCCCCCAUCAUCCAACGUCAGGUUCUGCAGAGACAGCAUCCAUGUGGAUGCGUUCAAGGGGUGCACAGGUUGUUAAAAUCAAACAUCAACUCGAAGAGCAAAAUAUGCAAAGCUUCAUGUCCUUCCUUUCUGCAUCUCUCCUCACCCACCCUCUCAAGCAUUCUCCCUACCCCCCUCCCCCCCUCCGCUCUUUACAAAGCCUCGCCGUCCUGCACUCUCCCAACGCCUCCUCCCUGUCCCGAACUGCAUGGACCUCAAACAUUCGGGGCUUCCACUCCAACUUGAUAGAUCUCUCAAUCCAGGCCGCUUCCGAUAAACCAGACAUCAUCUGUUUAACAGAAUCCUUCCUCCCACAGGACGUCCCCGACUCCUUGGUGUCUCCUCGGUUCUCCAACCUGAUAGAUCUCUCAAUCCAGGCCGCUUCCGAUAAACCAGACAUCAUCUGUUUAACAGAAUCCUUCCUCCACAGGACGUCCCCGACUCCUUGGUGUCUCUCCCCGGUUCUCCAACCUGAUAGAUCUCUCAAUCCAGGCCGCUGCCGAUAAACCACACAUCAUCUGUUUAACAGAAUCCUUCCUCCCUCAGGACGUCCCCGACUCCUUGGUGUCUCUCCCCGGUUCUUCAACCUGAUAGAUCUCUCAAUCCAGGCCGCUGCCGAUCAACCACACAUCUUCUGUUUAACAGAAUCCUUCCUCCCACAGGACGUCCCCGACUCCUUGGUGUCUCUCCCCGGUUCUUCAACCUGAUGUUUAACAGAAUCCUUCCUCCCUCAGGACGUCCCCGACUCCUUGGUGUCUCUCCCCGUUUCUCCAACCCGAUAGAUCUCUCAAUCCAGGCCGCUGCUGAUAAUCCAGACAUCAUCUUUUUAACAGAAUCCUUCCUCCUUCAGGACGUCCCCGACUCCUUGGUGUCUCUCCCC
rnacentral:lncRNA from 1 species